rnacentral:SRP_RNA from 1 species
GCUGGGCAUGGUGGCGCAUGCCUGUAGUCCCAGCUACUCUGGAGGCUGAGGCGGGAGAAUUGCUUGAACCCGGGAGGCAGAGGUUGCAGUGAGCCAAGAUCGCACCACUGCACUCCAGCCUGGGUGACAGAGCGAGACUCCAUCUCAA